rnacentral:rRNA from 1 species
UACGAAGGGGGCUAGCGUUGCUCGGAAUCACUGGGCGUAAAGCGCACGUAGGCGGGUCCUUAAGUCAGGGGUGAAAUCCCGGAGCUCAACUCCGGAACUGCCUUUGAUACUGCAGUGCUAGAAUUCUGGAGAGGCGAGUGGAAUUCCGAGUGUAGAGGUGAAAUUCGUAGAUAUUACGGAAGAACACCAGUGGCGAAGGCGACUCGCUGGACAGACAUUGACGCUGAGGUGCGAAAGCGUGGGGAGCAACAGG